AUGAAGCUUGGGGCGGCAUCCAUGGCGAUGUUGUUCAGAGAAGCAAAGAACAGGUUCAGAGAUACGGGAAAAGAGAUAGGAUGCAGAGAAAUGAGAAGGAAAAGGGACGGCCGGAGGUGCUGUCCUGGGGGUGGCGGAGUCCGACGAGGACAAGGUUUGGAGCAGGGCGCCAGGGUACGCUGCUGCUGUUGGCCGGUGAGGGGGAGCACGGGUGGCGUGACGAUGUCGACGGAGGGCAACGGGGUUGAGUGGACGCGCACACGGGAGGAGAGGAGGAAGGCGACGACGAUGUUGUUGUUGCUGUCGCCGCCGGCAGCAAAGCUCCGGCGCGACAGAGGCCAUGGGGCGCGGGAGGAGCUUGGGCGCGUUGGGGAAGGUCCUGCUGGAGGUGGUCGACGGUGA
rnacentral:rRNA from 1 species